rnacentral:lncRNA from 1 species
ACCUUUUUUAUUUGGCUAAGAGUCGGCCAUAUGUCGUCACCUGAUUGGCUAUCCCCGAGAUCAUCCCUACCCAUUCAGCUCACUUUACAAACACUUCCCACUAUACACACUGCACUCAUAAAAACUCAAACAAGUUUGCAAUUCUCUCUUAAAUUUCUUCAUCUAGAGAGAGAGAGAGAGAAAUUAAGGCGGGAGGCAAAAAACAGAGAGAGAGAGAAGAAGCAAAUGGGGGCGGAAACCUGGAGCCUAACCGCGAAGCUCUGCGACUCGUGCAAGGCGGCGCCCGCGGCCGUCUUCUGCCGCGCUGACUCGGCGUUCCUGUGCGGCGCGUGCGACGGCAAGAUCCACGCCGCCAACAAGCUGGCGUCGCGCCAUGGCCGCGUCUGGAUCUGCGAGGUGUGCGAGCAGGCCCCGGCCUCCUUCACCUGCAAGGCCGACGCCGCCUCCCUCUGCGCCGCCUGCGACCGCGACAUCCACUCCGCCAACCCCCUCGCCCGCCGCCACGAGCGCGUCCCCGUGGUCCCCUUCUACGACUCGGCCGCCAAGUCGUCGCCCUCCGCCGAGUG